rnacentral:tRNA from 1 species
GAGGGUGUAGCUCAGGGGUAGUGUGUGUUUAGCACGCACGAGCUCCUGGGUUCAAUCCCCAGUACCUCCA